rnacentral:rRNA from 1 species
GGAUGAGCCUGCGGCGCAUUAGCUAGUUGGUGAGGUAACGGCCCACCAAGGCAAUGAUGCGUAGCCGACCUGAGAGGGUGAACGGCCACAUUGGAACUGAGAACGGUCCAGACUCCUACGGGAGGCAGCAGUAGGGAGUAUUCGGCAAUGGAGGAAACUCUGACCGAGCAACGCCGCGUGAAUGAAGAAGGUCUUCGGAUUGUAAAAUUCUGUUAUAAGGGAAGAAGGAUAUAAUUAGGGAAUGAGUUAUAUUUGACCGUACCUUAUGAGAAAGCCACGGCUAACUACGUGCCAGCAGCCGCGGUAAUACGUAGGUGGCAAGCGUUAUCCGGAAUUAUUGGGCGUAAAGAGAGAGCAGGCGGUUAUCUAAGUCUGAAGUGAAAAGCAGUGGCUUAACCAUUGUAGGCUUUGGAAACUGGGUAACUAGAGUUCGGGAGAGGUUAGCGGGACUCCAUGUGUAGCGGUGAAAUGCGUAGAUAUAUGGAAGAACACCAGUGGCGAAGGCGGCUAACUAGCCCGAGACUGACGCUCAUUCUCGAAAGCGUGGGUAGCAAACAGGAUUAGAUACCCUAGUAGUCCACGCCGUAAACGAUGAGUACUAGGUGUUGGGGAAACUCAGCGCCGAAGUUAACACAAUAAGUACUCCGCCUGGGUAGUACGUUCGCAAGAAUGAAACUUAAAGGAAUUGACGGGGGCCCGCACAAGCAGUGGAGCAUGUGGUUUAAUUCGACGCUACGCGAAGAACCUUACCAGGACUUGACAUCUGAUUAAAGGCUCUAGAGAUAGAGAGAUAGUUAUAGUCAAGACAGGUGGUGCAUGGUUGUCGUCAGCUCGUGUCGUGAGAUGUUGGGUUAAGUCCCGCAACGAGCGCAACCCUCGUCCUUAGUUACCAUCAUUAAGUUGGGGACUCUAAGGAGACCGCCGGUAUAAGCCGGAGGAAGAUGGGGAUGACGUCAAAUCAUCAUGCCCUUUAUGUCCUGGGCGACACACGUGCUACAAUGGCCGGUACAAAGAGAGGCAAGACCGUGAGGUGGAGCAAAUCUUAGAAAGCCGGUCUCAGUUCGGAUUGGAGUCUGCAACUCGACUCCAUGAAGUUGGAAUUGCUAGUAAUCGCGAAUCAGCCAUGUCGCGGUGAAUACGUUCCCGGGCCUUGUACUCACCGCCCGUCA